ACACGUAGGAGACUAGCGUUAUCCGGAUUUACUGGGCGUAAAGCGCGUGCAGGUGGCUCGGAAAGUUCGAUGUGAAAGCUCCCGGCUUAACUGGGAUAGGUCGUUGAAUACUUUCGGGCUAGAGGAUGGGAGAGGGAGGCUGAAUUCCGGGUGUAGUGGUGAAAUGCGUAGAUAUCCGGAGGAACACCAGUGGCGAAAGCGGCCUCCUGGCCCAUUUCUGACACUCAGACGCGAAAGCUAGGGUAGCAAACGGGAUUAGAGACCCCGGUAGUCCUAGCCGUAAACGAUGUAGACUUGGCGUUGGCGGGUUCAAAUCCGUCAGUGCCGAAGCUAACGCGAUAAGUCUACCGCCUGGGGACUACGGCCGCAAGGUUAAA
rnacentral:rRNA from 1 species